rnacentral:rRNA from 1 species
GACGUAGGGGGCCAGCGUUGCUCGGAAUUACUGGGCGUAAAGGGUUCGUAGGCGGUGUGGCAAGUCGGGAGUGAAAUCUCUGGGCUUAACUCAGAGGCUGCUUCCGAAACUGCCGUGCUAGAGUGCGGGAGAGGCGAGUGGAAUUGCAGGUGUAGCGGUGAAAUGCGUAGAUAUCGGGAAGAACACCCGUGGCGAAGGCGGCUCUCUGGGACGGUACUGACGCUGAGACGCGAAAGCGUGGGGAGCGAACAGG